GACGAACCGUGCGAACGUUGUUCGGAAUCACUGGGCUUAAAGGGAGCGUAGGCGGGCUAUCAAGUCUGGGGUGAAAUGCCGCGGCUCAACCGUGGAACUGCCUUAGAUACUGACGGCCUCGAGGGAGAUAGGGGCAUGCGGAACUGUAGGUGGAGCGGUGAAAUGCGUUGAUAUCUACAGGAACUCCGGUGGCGGAAAGCGGCGUGCUGGAUCUCUUCGUGACGCU
rnacentral:rRNA from 1 species